rnacentral:rRNA from 1 species
UACGGAGGGUGCAAGCGUUGUCCGGAAUCACUGGGCGUAAAGGGCGCGUAGGCGGCUCAUGAAGGCUGUGGUGAAAGUCCGGGGCUCAACCUCGGAUCGGCCGUGGCGACUCGUGGGCUGGAGCACUGUAGAGGCGGGUGGAAUUCCGGGUGUAGCGGUGGAAUGCAUAGAGAUCCGGAAGAACACCAGUGGCGAAGGCGGCCCGCUGGGCAGUGGCUGACGCUGAGGCGCGACAGCGUGGGGAGCAAACAGG